AGUGAACGCUGGCGGUAGGCCUAACACAUGCAAGUCGAACGGCAGCACAGUAAGAGCUUGCUCUUACGGGUGGCGAGUGGCGGACGGGUGAGGAAUACAUCGGAAUCUACUUUUUCGUGGGGGAUAACGUAGGGAAACUUACGCUAAUACCGCAUACGACCUACGGUUGAAAGCAGGGGAUCUUCGGACCUUGCGCGAUUGAAUGAGCCGAUGUCGGAUUAGCUAGUUGGCGGGGUAAAGGCCCACCAAGGCGACGAUCCGUAGCUGGUCUGAGAGGAUGAUCAGCCACACUGGAACUGAGACACGGUCCAGACUCCUACGGGAGGGAGCAGUGGGGAAUAUUGGACAAUGGGCGCAAGCCUGAUCCAGCCAUACCGCGUGGGUGAAGAAGGCCUUCGGGUUGUAAAGCCCUUUUGUUGGGAAAGAAAAGCAGCAGGUUAAUACCCCGCUGUUCUGACGGUACCCAAAGAAUAAGCACCGGCUAACUUCGUG
rnacentral:rRNA from 1 species